CACUUGUCCUUUAACAAAAUUUAAUGCAAAUUCUGUAAUAAAGAAAAAUAUUGAUGUAAGUAUACUCUGCCAUCUGCUUCCUUUCUCUAUGCCAUGCCAUACUGAUUUCAAUAGACCAGGUCAAAACUGAGUGUUUCCUGCUUUCAAGGUUGACCUCUGAAGGUCUCCUACUGUUUCGUCUCCUUGCUCCCUGGGGAGAGCCGCUAAGUCUUUCGAUGACAGCUGAAGGCAGGAUAAAAUAAAAUCUCCAUUUGACAUGCUUAUAAAUCAGUUUUCCUAUGGGACAAGAUUGUUGGUGUUGGGUGCUCAUUGAAAAUAGUCUUACUGAUCAGAAAACUAAGACAAUUGGUUCUUUAUUCACCUGAGGAUUCAGAUUGACUAAUCGAAGAUGAAUUCAUCUUGUAAUCUUUUAAAAAUAUGACAAAUGAUUAAAAAAAACUUUUGUGGAAGAUGUCUGCAGAAGUUUCUAAUUUCAGAUUCAAUCUGAUUUUCAGAAAUGAUAUUUUGAUCUUGGGCUUGAGGGUCAUAAUUUCCUCUUUAAAAUGGACAUUAAAAUUCAGCACACAUUUGGAGUACAAGGAAGGGUGAUGAUCACAGAUAAGUUUUUCUUAUAAUUUUUUUCUAUUUGAAUAUAUCUUAUUUCAAAAGAGAAUUCUUGCUUUUAAUUUUGGAUACAGUGUAGGCUAAAUCCAACACUGUGGCAUCUUGACUACGGUGGCCUGCUCAAUUAAUUCUGAACAGUAAAUUGCCUUUGACAGGUCUUCAGGUAGCUGGGUAAGAAGCGGCAAGGAAAACAAAGGGUCCUGGUAAUUGAAAACAACUGGUAAGGAUUGUUUUCUUUUUCUUUUCCUUCAUCUUCUUCCUAAUCGAUGUGCUGAUUUGUAUAUGAACCUACAGAUGAGUCAAACCUAAGCAUUCGGCAUUGGGAGCACUGUCACUAAAACUGCAGCCUCAUUCAACAACACAUCCUUAUCGAGCACUUGCAGGUACUCCAUUGAAUGUUAGAAAUGCAUUGAUGAUGGAGACACAGCACCGGCUCAUGAGGACCUUCCAGCCUAGGCAGCAGGACUGGACAUACGCACUUUGAUUUAUUUUUAGAAAUUGGCUUAUGCAAGUGUGGGGCUGGCAAGUCUAACAACUGCAGGGCAGGUCAGGAGGCUGGAGACCCAGGGAAGAGUUGAUGCUGCAGUCUCUAGUCUGAAGGCAGUGCAGAGGCAGAAUUCCCUCUUUCUCGGAGGAUCUCAGGCUUUUUCUCCUAAGUCCUUCAACCAAGUGGAUGAGGCCACCCGCAUUAGAGAAGGAUGUGGAAGUCAGCUGCCUGGGAAUAGUCUGAGGAAAGAGAACCAAGUGAAGGUAACUUAUCCAUAGAGGCACUGACCCCAGAGAUUCACCUUAUUACACCUGGAUCUGGUUUAAGUACAAAAAUGUGGGUCUUUGUGAUUUCUCCACGUUCACACAGCCCAUACAUAGGUGUCAGGAGUCAAACUUGAACCCUGCUCCAGAGCGUUCUUGUGACUUUGGAGAUCAUAGAUUUGUAAGCAUGCCUGUGUGAGCUACGCCAUGCACAUCGUUUAGGACAGCACCUGGUACACAGCAAGCACUCAGCAGGGUCACUUAUUGUAGUCCUCGCUCGUUAGGAGGCAGGUGUGGAAUGAGUGAGGCAGGAGGUGCUGGAGGGGAUUUGCAGUCUGGAUGUUGCUGGGGCUGGGGCUGGGGCUGGGGCUGAAGCAUCAGAGAUGGCUUGGAUGACCUCCCCAGUCUCUCCAGCUGUGGAACUCAAACAGCUCCAGCUAGGAAGCUGUGUUUGAGUCAUGGGGGCAGAUGAGCAUUUUUCUUAAUUGAGCAGGAGCUAAUGAGAGCUGUAUUUCUUUGAAUCUGCUCAUUGGAUGAGAACAAACAUUAAUGACCACUGAGCUGGAAAGGCCAGAUACAAUUUACCAAAUGAGAGAGCAUCUUCCCCCAUCAGUUAUAAAACCGUGUGCAGAGGACCGGGGCAUAUUUUCCAACAGCGAAAGUCCAUCAGCAGCUACGGUGUUAAAUGCAGAGCGAAGGACCCAUAAACUGGCAGCCGCGUGUGAAGCAAUUAGAUGUGGCACUGCCCCCGCAGCCACGUUCCAGCAGCCGCCUCUGUUGGAGCUUUCAAGGCUCAGCAACUCUUAGGAUGACAGAGGAAUAAUAAUGCGCUGGUUUUCUUUGCGGACACAAAGCAGGCUGCAUUGGGGGAGCUCCUCUCUCCUAAUGGCAGCAAGAUUCAGAAGCCAUCCUCACCUGGAUCUCGAGGGAGGGGCAGAGCUAAGUUCUCCCUGGGUGGCACCUCUGACCAGCUCCCUCUGCCAAAACAGACUACAUAAUCUGCUGAUGGCCAAAAUGAAGGACAUUGGACACACCUGGUGAGAAACCCAGACUCCAGCAGAAGUAAUAGUGCUCUGGCUGGCUUCUUCUCCUUUUUUUUUUUUUUUUUUUCCAAAAAGAAGCCAUCUCACUAUGUUGCUUAGGCUGGCCUCAAACAAGUGAUUCUCCUUCCUCAGCCUCCCAAGGAGCUGGGACUAUAGGCACUCACCACUGUGCCCAGCUUCCUUGUUUUUAAUGGUGUACACAAUCUACCAUUUCACAUUUUACAUCUCCCAUUUCACCAAGUGCCUAGUUUUUUUACUCUAGCUUAGUAGCCCGGAGAGUAUUCCUAAGUCACUGGGGCUCAGUGAGGUUGGUGGUUAUUUGAAUAGGUUUCUGAGAUGGUAUAGUUAGCUUGGUUAAUUCCUUCCCUUAAAUGCCCAUAAUUUGAGGUAUUAAGGAUAUUGACAUUAGCCCCAAAGAGAACUGGUCAGGGUAAUGUCUGGGCAUGGAGGAAGAAUGAAGGCAGAAUAUUAUGGGGUUUCUCUUUCUCCUUUUUCUGACUAUCUCCUUCGAGAGCUUGGAGCAUGAGUGAGUCCUGUUGACUGGAUUUUUAAGGGAGAAGGUGAGGCCAGGACUAAACCAAUCACAUUCCUUGGAUCCUCUUGUGGGAGCUCGGUCCUUCUGUUCAACACACAGCCCAUACUCAUGUACCUGUUGCUGGGGAAAAGAUCUUUCCUCUGGAUGGCUUCUUAAUUUCUGAUGGGCCAUCAAUUUGGAUAUGGCCCUGGGUGUGUGGUGUGGGUGUGUCUGAGUGGGCGUCACUUUUUCACCAGGAGCAAGCCUGCCUGCCCUGUCUGCUGCAUGCUCCUGGCCAAGGGGCCACUGCCGUCCCUGCCCCAAGGCCUCUCCUGCUCCACUCCACAUCCUGAAAGCUGCUUGCCUUCAGGGUCCUAAUGGUGCCAAGAAUCCUCUGAAGUUUCUGAGAAGAGUGGGUUGGAAAGGGGCGAGGGGCUCCUGUGUUACCCAGGUACUGGGAGCAUGGUCGCCUGUGUGGCCGAGGCAGCAUUGCUCAGUAGUUGAGUUGAUCAUCUCUCCUAGAAUCUUGGCUCCACCUCUUACUCUGUGUCUUUGGGGGAACUACUUACCUUCUCUGUACCUUGGUUUCCAUAUCUGUAAAAUAUGGAUAAUAGUAGUACCUACUAUUGUUAUGUCAUGAAAAUUAAGUGACAGCAUGUAUGUAAAGUGAUUAGAAAGGUGCCUUCAGUGCCUUCUGUAGAAGGAGACCCCCCUCUCCUGCCACCACAGCUGCCCAUUCUUUAACAUUGCUACCUCAUGCUCUUAUCUGACUUCUUUCUAGGGCUCAAAUCUGGUCUGGGUGGGAUGGGGCGGGGCAGGGAGGAAGGGGGACAGCUGCCAGGUUGUCUCAGGCUCGGCCUCCUUUCUUCCCUUUGCACACAUGACUUCCCUCUCCUCAUUCUGGCACCAAAAACAUUGAUCGGUUCCCAAGCAUAUCAGUGUAUGGACCUGGGUGCCCACAGGGGUCACAGCUCUGCAAACUGCAUGUGUGAAUCCAGCUGGGUCUUGCUGGGCCCCUCUGAACUGUCCUUAGGCCCAUUUUACAUCCAUUGCAGCCUUCUGGGGCCUUCUCGCCCGUUAAAGCCAUCCUGCCAUCUAAAGCCAGUGCCUUGCGUUUGAAUUUCUCUCCCAGGCAUGUUGUCAUGAUCACCAAAAUCGCUCCCAAGCCUUUGCAGAUAUUCUCAGUGCUGCAAUCAGUUUUCCACCGGACACUGUCAGGCCCAGUCCAAUAUUUAUCAGCUAUGCCUCAAAAGGCUGUUUCCUUCCAGAAGACCUGUGUACAGGCAACACCGGUUUGUCCCUGUGUUGGGUAGCAUUAGGAUCCUUGCGUGUCCCUCAGUGUUGGGUGGCAUCAGGAUCCUUGCGUGUCCCUCAGUGUUGAGUGGCAUUAUGAUUUGCGUGUCCCUCAGUGUUGGGUGGCAUUAGGAUCCUUGCAGCAGCAGAGCUCCUCAAUCUCCUUCUGUCUAGGAGAGCAUGGGCAUUUUUGUCCUCUCUGUGCCCUGUUUUGACCCUGGGCAUUUUCUAGUCCUACUCUGGUAGAUGGAGGUGAGGACUUUCACUCGCAUCCGUGUGAAGAGACCACCAAACAGGCUUUGUGUGAGCAAUAAAGCUGUUUAUUUCACCUGGGUGCAGGUGGGCUGAGUCCGAAAAGAGAGUCAGCGAAGGGAGAUAGGGGUGGGGCUGUUUGAUAGGAUUUGGGUAGGUAAAGGAAAAUUGCAGUCAAAGGGGGGUUGUUCUCUGGCGGGCAGAGUGGGGGUCACAAGGUGCUCAGUAGGGGAGCUUUUGAGCCAGGAUGAGCCAGGAGAAAGAAUUUCACAAGACAAUGUCAUCAGUUAAGGCAGGAACAGACCAUUUUCACUUCUUUUGUGGUGGAAUGUUGUCAGUUAAGGCAGGAACCGGCCAUCUGGAUGUGUACGUGCAGGUCACAGGGGAUAUGAUGGCUUAGCUUGGGCUCAGAGGCCUGACAUUCCUGUCUUCUUAUAUUAAUAAGAAAAAUAAAAUGAAAUAGUGGUAAAGUGUUGGGACGGUGAAAAUUUUGGGGGGUGGUAUGGAGAGAUAAUGGGCGAUGUUUCUCAGGGCUGCUUUGAGCGGGAUUAGGGGCGGUGUGGGAACCUAGAGUGGGAGAGAUUAUGCUGAAGGAAGAUUUUGUGGUAAGGGGUGAUAUUGUGGGACUGUUAGAAGAAACAUUUGUCAUUUAGAAUUAUUGGUGAUGGCCUGGAUACAGUUUUGUAUGAAUUG